GGGGACGGGCGCUCGACCUCCAGGUUUCGGAGUCUCCGAGGGACGGGCCCCCGAAGAUACGCAGCUCUCGAAGCGGACCCCGAAACCCCCCCCCCCCCGCCCCGCAAAAAAAAACUUCUAGCUCGCCCCGGGUCGCGUCCUUCUCCCAUCAGCCUCCCCGACCCAUCGCUCCCGCACCGGUCGCGGCUGGUCCUCGGCAGUUUCAUCACGGAAUCGCCAAAAGAUGCGAUUUCCUAACAGCGGGGCGACGAUCCGUGCGAUUCCGAUCGCGUCGCCGACGCGAAGCGACGGGGAGAAAUGGGCCCCCGCCCCGAGAGACGCCGAUCGGCGGGGACCGACCACCCCCCCCCCCCCCCCCGCCGCCCCCCGGCCCGGACUCGCGGACCCCUCGCCCCGUGUCUCCCCGCUGGGCCCCUUCGAGUGCCGCGUCCCGGGGCGCCCCGGCCGAACGCUACCUUCUCUCAGGUGGGUCCGGGCUCCCUUCGGUCGGCUCACCGGUGGCGAGGCGCGGGAGCAGCUGCCGAAGGGGAAGGCGAAGGGAUCGUGAGGUCACACCGUUCGGCCCGCUCCCGGGGAGACCCACCGGAAAGGGUUCGAUGCCGAAAGUUAACGAGGCGGGGAGAGGGGGGAAGGGACCUAUUCAUUACGUUCUCGUUGGAUUCGGUGUUGUCUCCAGACCGCAAGCUCCCUGUGGGCAGGGGCUGCGUCUGUCAUAGCGUACGCUGCGCUCAG
rnacentral:lncRNA from 1 species